rnacentral:rRNA from 1 species
UCGUAGUCGAGGCAGGCUCAACACAGCAAUGCGAGCGGAAACGAGUUUCGAACUUCGGGGGAACGAUAACGGCGUCGAGCGGCGGACGGGUGAGUAAUGCCUAGGAAAUUGCCCUGUGUGGGGGAUAACCAUUGGAAACGAUGGCUAAUACCGCAUGAUGCCUACGGGCCAAAGAGGGGGACCUUCGGGCCUCUCGCGUCAGGAUAUGCCUAGGUGGGAUUAGCUAGUUGGUGAGGUAAGGGCUCACCAAGGCGACGAUCCCUAGCUGGUCUGAGAGGAUGAUCAGCCACACUGGAACUGAGACACGGUCCAGACUCCUACGGGAGGCAGCAGUGGGGAAUAUUGCACAUGGGCGCAAGCCUGAUGCAGCCAUGCCGCGUGUGUGAAGAAGGCCUUCGGGUUGUAAAGCACUUUCAGUCGUGAGGAAGGUAGUGUAGUUAAUAGCUGCAUUAUUUGACGUUAGCGACAGAAGAAGCACCGGCUAACUCCGUGCCAGCAGCCGCGGUAAUA